CUAAAUCCCGGUUACUGUUCAUGUUUUUUUUAGACAACUACUUUUUUCUUUUGUUCUCACACAACACAAUGACCCAUGUGCUGAUGACCCAUGCUGUCACACAAUUGCGUGGGUUGAUACUCCCCAAGGCUCUUCGUCAUCUUCCCUCAUGCUGCCAUUAACAGCUGUUUAGUUUGCUUUACAGAUGGUACAGAUUACAGAUUACAGAUUACAGAUGGAGGCUUUUACUAUCCUGUAAACAAUAAUUUUCUCCUAUAAAUUCACCAUCCACCAAGUGUAUUUUCGUGUGCUUGCUUCUGUGCUUUGAACUGAAUUAGAGAUAGAAAUAGAGAUAGAGAAGAGAUAGAGAUAGAGAUGGCUGGGCGUUUGAAUCAACUAAGUAGCUUACGUUCAGGUAAAAGUAAUGGAAGUAUUAAGGUUAGGAUCAUCCGUAUGUGGGAAAGUUUCCUAGCUGCAAAAGCAGACACACCACACCAUGGCCACAGAUGACCCUGUUAUUGAACAGGCAUUGUUGGGAUCUAGGACCCUAGGAGAGCGUGUCUAUGCAGCGUUGAUGCCACUCAUAGUUGUAGUUGAGGUUCUGGUGUUUGCUGUGGCAGGUUGUUUCAACCGUUGUCCACUCAGAAAUAUUAAUUAGGAUCAGAAACGUGAAUGUACUGCUAAGGAUUUUGCUCGCCUUGCAAAAGAAACCAGAUGACUAUGAAAUUUCUUUGUUAUACAUGAAGGUGAAACUCAAUCUAAAUUUGAAGACGAAAAACAGGAAAAACAUCAGGUUCCUGAAUCUUGGGGAAGAGUUUGGCAAGGCAAAUAUGGUUGCGCAUGUCACAUCGCUUUUGAGAAACACAUGGAAGACUGCUAUCCAGCUUGACUCAAACUCUUUUGAGGCAGUUAUCCAAUCCAGGGUGCUCCAGGAAGAUAAAAGGGGAGAACUCAAACUAUUUUCAAGAGAUGAAAGAGGCUAAGAUUCCAAAAAUUUGUUAAUAGAACUCUGGCGUGUAGAAACAUAUUAAGCUUCGCUGAUGACAAAGUUAUUGCAAGAAAUCAGGGAAUGAUAGUAUGGACUGUGGGGUUCAUUAUUGGAAUAAUGUUAUCCGCGUUUUUGGAAGAUGAGACUAAUGCAAGAUGUAGAAAUGACUCUAAAGAAGAUGUGAAGCUUAGACCACUCACUCAAUGCACAAACUAUCUAUUGUAUGGUCAUUGGUUAUGCUGCCAUUAGGAACUUCUAUAUUAUGUGUGUAUACAUUUAUGACAGUUGGAUUCUUCAUUCAAGCCAAUGAAGUUAUGUCUGACUCACAAAGUUUUCCCUUUUUGUAGUUGAUCAUGGUUGUCUUCGUGGUUCCCAAGUUUGACAAGUUCGUCACUUUCCGAUUGAAGGUUGAGCCAAAGCUAUAUUGGCCAGUGAAUGAGCAAUUUUGUGAUUGGUGGAGAAAGAAGUUCGUCGAUGGAAAAGUGGUGGUUAGGGACCCUGAAGGAAACUCUAAGUUAAUUACGAGUGAAUAACUUGAAUGGGAAGCAUGUUUUCUAUGAUGGGAUCCUGGUGUUUAUUAAUUACUACGGUAUUGGACCAGCAUGCCAUUGCUGAUCCUGUUUAAGUUGACUAGAGAACAUUGAUAAUAGUAACAGAAACUUCUGAAGAUGCAACAGGAGGAUACCUACAUGGUGGAAGUCAACCGCCAUUAAAAGUGUGAGCUGCCGAAGGGUUGGUUGCUGAAUAUGUGUUGUUUAUUUCUAGACAAUGUCCAUUACUUCAUGUUCGUAAUAGAAUUUGUUGUUUACUGUGUGUUUAAUUUCAAGUUUGUGUUGUUAAGUUCGAUGAAUUUGUGCCCAAGAACCUAUUAUGUAUUUUGCAAAUUAUGGUUGUAUUUAUAUUUAGUUCCCUUUUCCCAAAUUUAUGUUGUUGAAUUCGUUGCA